rnacentral:rRNA from 3 species
GAAGUUGGAGUCGCUAGUAAUCGCAGAUCAGCAACGCUGCGGUGAAUACGUUCCCGGGCCUUGUACACACCGCCCGUCACGUCAUGAAAGUCGGUAACACCCGAAGCCGGUGGCCUAACCCCUCGUGGGAGGGAGCCGUCGAAGGUGGGAUCGGCGAUUGGGACGAAGUCGUAACAAGGUAGCCGUACCGGAAGGUGCGGCUGGAUCACCUCCUUU